GGUGGCGUGUAAUAAUAAAUGGUGGUAGCCUAAUUGGUGGUAGCACUGCACUCGAGAGAUUUCGGAUCACGCCGCCGACGCAGUGCGACAACCAACCGCUUUCAUCAGUCUUUCACGAACAAUCAUCAUGGCCGAUAACGAACGUAUACGAAGGCGUCGGCGCAGCAAGGGGGAGCGCCGUUCGUGUGCAAAGGUGGCGGUCGGGGUGGCCUACCCCCGCAUCAACCGCCCGCGGAACAUCAUCCUGGUUGACAUAACCGCCGAGUUGGAGGCGCUGAGAGCUACGUGAUAUCGCGGCAGCCACCGCAGCCCGAUACC
rnacentral:misc_RNA from 1 species